rnacentral:rRNA from 1 species
GACGAACGCUGGCGGCGUGCUUAACACAUGCAAGUCGAACGGAAAGGCCCUGCUUUUUUGGGGUGCUCUAGUGGCGACCGGGUGAGUAACACUUAAGUACCCUACCCUUGACUUUGGGAUAACUUCAUGAAACUUGAUCUAAUACCGGCUAGGAUCUCCUGCUGCAUGGUGGGCGUUGGAAAGUUUCGCCGGUUGGUGAUGUACUCGCGUCUUAUCAGCUUAUUGGUGGGGUAGUGUCUUACCAAGGCUUUGCCGGGUAGCCGGCCUGAGAGGGUGAGAGGCCAAACUGGGACGGAGAUGCGGCCCAGACUCCUACGGGACGGAGCAGUGGGGAAGAGUGUACAAUGGGCGGAAGGAUGAUGUAGCAACGCCGCGUGGGGGAUGAGGGCCUUGGGGUUGUAAACCGAUUUUGCCUGUGACGAAGCGUGAGUGACGGUAAUGGGUAAAGAAGCACCGGCUAACUACGUG